AUUCCACGGUGUGAGAGAACCAUUCAUCACAGAGCAGCACACAGCAACAGAGCUAACAUGUCAGACAAGAAGCAGACCGUAGACUUGGGCUUAUUGGAGGAGGACGACGAGUUUGAAGAAUUCCCAGCUGAGGAUUGGACGGGACUGGAUGAAGAUGAAGAUGCUCAUGUUUGGGAAGACAACUGGGACGACGACAACGUAGAAGACGAUUUCUCAAAUCAGCUGAGAGCGGAGCUGGAAAAACAUGGUUACAAGAUGGAGACGUCAUAGUGGCUCGCGCAAAUUCACUGUUCAGUGACGUUGGACAAGGACAUUUAUAUUUGAUCAUCUCUGGAUGGCCGUUCGUCACAAGAAGACUUUCAAGGAUUAUAAGUCAUUUCAUUCUUUUUUUUUGUAAUAAAAACUGAUGUUUA